UUGGAUGUAAGCAGAGGCCUUGCCGUGGUCGAGGUCUCCUAGGCAGGUUUAUCUGCUUUGAGAUGUGCCAUAGUUUGAGAGGUAAGCUCUGGUGAUUCAAUUUUUUUGGCCGUCUAGGCAUCUUUGUUACAUGGAAUUAGGUAUCUUAGAUAAAGAACUACUAUCAAAUAAAAUAUGCAUAUGAGUUUCCAUAUCUCUUGGUUAUUUAUAUAUGUGUUACAUAUUAUUCCUAACCAAUUACUUAGUAUUACUUAGAGUGUGUUUGUUUGGGCUACAAUUUCAAUGCCUACAGCUGAAGGAGCGACUGUAGCUGCAGAGAGGCUUCAGAGCAUGAUAACAUUGUUUAUGAGAAAAAUCCACGACGGACUGAUAACCUACUUCUUCUAGGAAGUAUCUACUGUAAGUUUAUGACUUGGUGCUAGCUGAAGCUUGCAUUUUCUACCAAAACUGCUAUUAACAAAAGAACUCUAGCGACCCAGGAUUUUAUCCUUAACUGCUAUUAAACUCACAAGAGGGAGCAUUUUAAUAACAAAAGAACUCUAUCCAUGCUUUCUGAUAUACUGUGUAUAUGCGUGAUGUACUAGCAGUUCCUAUUUUUUGACUAUUGCGUACCAGAAAAAUGAAUUGGUAAUGUCUGUAUAAAUAUGAUGUAUUGAAUUAUGUUAUGAGAGGGAUUUGUUCAUUUCAAAACUAAGGAAGUUGUCAGUUCAAAAAAAUACUAAGGAAGUUGGAUGAGCUUAAAGCGCCUAUUCAGAAGUUAACUGAACUUUUCUAAUUGUAUUUUAAAUCCACAAGAGGGUAAAAUCAAUGCUCUUUCCCAGAUCAUCUAAAUCAGAUGGAUGGGCUCCAAACUCCCAGUGCCGUUUGUCGUUUUUGUGUUAUAACUUUUUACUUGAUUGCCUUUGGACAUAUGGUACUAUGGAGAGGUGACAUUAGCACAAUUGAUGGUUGUUUGUCCUCCCCUAUCAACCACAUCUGCUGACUCUAUAUGUUGAUAUAUCAACAAAACAAGAUAUCAUUGUUUUAUGGAGUUAACAGAUUAUUGAAGAUUUUUGCUGCCAUGGAAUUGUGAGUUUGUGACUAUACAUUCUUGUCCUACAUGUGAGUUGAAGAUAUAUUGUCUCUGUAUGUGAAUAUAAAUAUCCAGGUAUGUAAGCAAGUCCUAACAUUUAUUUACAUAUUUAUCAAUGAAAUGCAUCCAAGCAAGUCACAUCUUACAUACAAUUGCCCACUUAUAGGUAAAUUUGAUGAUUCAUAAAUUAACCGGUUGGAGAUCGGUAGGCAGUCAAGUGUAUUGAUAACUGGAGUUUAGAGCUCAAAAUCCUUCUAACUUCUCUACUAACUGUAUUUUCUUGACAGCUUCCAGAGAAGAACAAAUACUGUUAGUCAUUCUCUGGCAUGUAUAAUACAAUACUAGAGAUGUGAAUGGAUGUAGUUCAUUUAGUAGAGUAUUAGUAGAUGAUGAUUUCUUUUCUUCAGAGUCAACUGGUGUAUAUGCUGAUAUGUUUAGUCUGUUCCAAAAUUAAUUUGUAAAGUAGCCUGAACAAUUGUACAGUCUCUCUGUGUAUCAGUACUUUGUUUUUGGGCAACUUGAAGAAAUCAGUUUCUCAUGACAUGUGAAAAUGAGUUUAUUUACCUUAACUGUUGCUUUUAUUAGUUAAGAAAGAUGUUUGUGAGAUAGUCAUCACAGUGAAGCUUGGCGAAGGGACUUCUGGUGAGGCCUACAAGGCUGGAAGCACUGCAUGUAAAGUGGUACCCUCUCAUGGAUACUCAUUUGUCAACUAAUAGAUGGCCAUACUAGAGGCACAUGCAGCGCGCACACAAGGACCCUAACAGGUUGUAAAUGUGUACGUGGACAAUCUUUAAAUACCUAGAUUAUUAUUAUUUAAAUACCUG
rnacentral:lncRNA from 1 species